AGAGUUUGAUCAUGGCUCAGGAUGAACGCUAGCUACAGGCUUAACACAUGCAAGUCGAGGGGAAACGACAUCGAAAGCUUGCUUUUGAUGGGCGUCGACCGGCGCACGGGUGAGUAACGCGUAUCCAACCUGCCCACCACUUGGGGAUAACCUUGCGAAAGUAAGACUAAUACCCAAUGACGUCUCUAGAAGACAUCUGAAGGAGAUUAAAGAUUUAUCGGUGAUGGAUGGGGAUGCGUCUGAUUAGCUUGUUGGCGGGGUAACGCCGCAAGGCGACGAUCAGUAGGGGUUCUGAGAGGAAGGUCCCCANAUUGGAACUGAGACACGGUCCAAAACUCCUACGGGAGGCA
rnacentral:rRNA from 1 species